AUUGAACGCUGGCGGCAUGCCUUACACAUGCAAGUCGAACGGCAGCGGGGGAGAAGCUUGCUUUUCCUGCCGGCGAGUGGCGAACGGGUGAGUAAUACAUCGGAACGUGCCCUGUAGUGGGGGAUAACUAGUCGAAAGAUUAGCUAAUACCGCAUACGACCUGAGGGUGAAAGUGGGGGACCGCAAGGCCUCAUGCUAUAGGAGCGGCCGAUGUCUGAUUAGCUAGUUGGUGGGGUAAAGGCCUACCAAGGCGACGAUCAGUAGCUGGUCUGAGAGGACGAUCAGCCACACUGGGACUGAGAAACGGCCCAGACUCCUACGGGAGGCAGCAGUGGGGAAUUUUGGACAAUGGGCGAAAGCCUGAUCCAGCAAUGCCGCGUGUGUGAAGAAGGCCUUCGGGUUGUAAAGCACUUUUGUCCGGAAAGAAAUGGCUCUGGUUAAUACCUGGGGUCGAUGAAGGUACCGGAAGAAUAAGGACCGGCUAACUACGUGCCAGCCGCCGCAGUAA
rnacentral:rRNA from 1 species